rnacentral:lncRNA from 1 species
UUGACUUUCUGACAAGAGGUCUGGUAUUUGACACAACCCUGUAGACUACAAUGCUUGAUACAGCCCUGUAGACUGCAAGGCUAUGUGAGAUCUUUAAAAGCUGGACCUUGAUGUUAACAGAGGGUUCUAGAGGAAGCCAGCAAUUUUUUGGAGGCCUGAACCAUAACAUCAUGUUCUGGAUCUAAACUUUACUGAGGACCUUGAAUUACCUCUUUUUUUCUGGUAUGUUUCCACUCCUGAGAAAAGCAAGAGCUGCAAGACUGACUUAUAAUGUACUCAUUCAAUUAAUCAAGUGAGAGUGAAUCAAACCUUUCCAGGCAAUUUUGUUUGAAGUGUCUGCACUCUUCUCUGCAUCGUAUGAGGUGCCAACACCAGUGGGAGUUUGCCUGCGCAUUCAAAAGGAUGACUCCUUGUCUCCAGUAGUACGAAGUAGCUUCUGAUUUGAGUGAGAAGAUGGAAACUGGGAGGAAAGGGAAGUUGACGGUGCUCCUGCCAGCUGUUGGAGUGAUGCUGCAACACCCCAACCAGGGCUGGCUGCUGGAAGAACAACAGAGAAGCGAGGUGUGAGAGUAUUAUUGGCCAUGGAAGUCCUUCUUUGUUGUAUAAACUUUUUUUUUUUUUUUUUUAAUGUCAGUAUACUUCCUUUUUUAGGUUACCAUGACACUGAGAGAACACUGAACUGCAUUUUGAAACAGGCUUCCUGGUCCAGCGGUACUGAAUAUAGGCUGAUACCUCAGACAAGGUUCUUCAAGGGUUAGGGCAA